rnacentral:antisense_RNA from 1 species
GGGCGCUUGAGGCUAUCUGCCUUAAGAUCUGCAAAAGAAAUUGGGGUGGAUGGUGGAAGGUGAACCGUGCGAUUAAUUUUCAUUAACCGCACGGGUGAGCCACUACCCUACACCCAGACAGUGUCAGGGUAAUGGCUUGCUCGUGCUAAUGCAAGGAGUAAGUGAUUAUG